rnacentral:lncRNA from 13 species
CUGCUACUCGAGUUGCCUAUUCAGUGUUCAGUACUGUGUACAUACUAUACAUGUCAUUUAUGAUAGCGUACACAAACACAUUAGUCCCCACUGAAAUACCAGUAAGCUACCUCAGAGUCAGGUGUAUUUCUUUCUUUGUGUGUUUAGUGAGAUAAAUCAAUGUGCCGUAUUGCAAUGGAUGAUGGGAUUCACAAUUAGCCCCAGCACAGUGAACCCCUGAGUGUCCGUGGGUGGGUGGUGUGUGUGGAUAAUGACUUACAGUCAAGCUGACACUCCUUCACUCUUCCCCCUCUGGCCCUGCUGCCUGCGGGUCCCUCUCCUGUCCAGGUGCCUUGUGGGUAACGGCCAGCUAGGCGAGCUAGGCCAGGUGGGCGAGGAGAGCCCCUCCCUGGUGGCGCUGGGGCGUGACAGCUCGACGCGCUCUUUGACCUGCAAGGAAGGCAAAACAACAUCAAUGGCUUCCACAUCACAAUGCCCCGACAAGCAGAACAUCUGGGGGAGCCAUGGAGACAGGAUCAAAGGGCUUGUAGAAUCUAGCGUCCUCCCCGGGUCUGACUGUACCGAACAUAUAUGGUGACAUCAUUCCCUUCAACAAGCAGCUGCAGUGUUUUCCUAUCUAACUUACAAAAAAUGGCUGCAAGGAUCCAAGAAGAAAAACGAAUGCUGCCGAAUUUAUGACCGAUGCAAUGACAACAUACAGGCAGCUUACAAAUGAAGGAAAAGUGGACAGAAGAGGAAACAAUGACAACUUUUCAACUGAGAAAUACACACCAUUAUGUUGCUGUAGCCAACACAGUAAAAUGCUUAGAUACGUAUAAUACAGCAACAGCACAUACUGAGUGUUGUCCUCACCAGCACUUUCCAACUGACAAAUCUCACCAAAUAGCAAGCCAAUGCUCUUCUGUACUGUUACAAUGUGGGCCACAGUACUACACCACACAUUACAGAUGUAGGGUCUUAAUUUGAGCCAGUUUGCUACAGCAGGAAAAGAAACCUGUAGCAACAGGAAAUUUGAAUGAUUUUGUGGAUUAUAAUUCAUGGACAUUUUUGUAGGGGCCGAUACAUUUUCCGUAAGGGAAAAUCAAGUCUGAAAUUUCAACGUNNNNNNNNNNAAGAAAUCUCCCUGAUCGUUCCUCUAUGUUUGAUGGAUGAGUUGUGCAUAUAAUGACUGGACAUUACCUCUGUAAAUAAACAGGCUUCCACAUCACAAUGCCCCGACAAGCAGAACAUCUGGGGGAGCCAUGGAGACAGGAUCAAAGGGCUUGUAGAAUCUAGCGUCCUCCCCGGGUCUGACUGUACCGAACAUAUAUGGUGACAUCAUUCCCUUCAACAAGCAGCUGCAGUGUUUUCCUA